GACGAACGCUGGCGGCGUGCCUAAUACAUGCAAGUUGAGCGAUGAAGAUUGGUGCUUGCACCAAUUUGAAGAGCAGCGAACGGGUGAGUAACGCGUGGGGAAUCUGCCUUUGAGCGGGGGACAACAUUUGGAAACGAAUGCUAAUACCGCAUAACAACUUUAAACAUAAGUUUUAAGUUUGAAAGAUGCAAUUGCAUCACUCAAAGAUGAUCCCGCGUUGUAUUAGCUAGUUGGUGAGGUAAAGGCUCACCAAGGCGAUGAUACAUAGCCGACCUGAGAGGGUGAUCGGCCACAUUGGGACGGAGACACGGCCCAAACUCCUACGGGAGGCAGCAGUAGGGAAUCUUCGGCAAUGGACGAAAGUCUGGCCGAGCAACGCCGCGUGAGUGAAGAAGGUUUUCGGAUCGUAAAACUCUGUUGGUAGAGAAGAACGUUGGUGAGAGUGGAAAGCUCAUCAAGUGACGGUAACUACCCAGAAAGGGACGGCUAACUACGUG
rnacentral:rRNA from 1 species